rnacentral:rRNA from 1 species
UACAGAGGGGGCAAGCGUUGUUCGGAAUUACUGGGCGUAAAGGGCGCGUAGGCGGCCUGUUAAGUCGAACGUGAAAUCCCCGGGCUCAACCCGGGAACUGCGUCCGAUACUGGCAGGCUUGAAUCCGGGAGAGGGAUGCGGAAUUCCAGGUGUAGCGGUGAAAUGCGUAGAUAUCUGGAGGAACACCGGUGGCGAAGGCGGCAUCCUGGACCGGCAUUGACGCUGAGGCGCGAAGGCCAGGGGAGCAAACGGG